GCGAUCGUAGCUCAGUUGGUUAGAGCAUCGGCUUGUGGUGCCGAGGGUCGGGGGUUCAAGUCCCCUCGAUCGCCCCA
rnacentral:tRNA from 1 species